CGUCUUGUAAUUCGCGCCACGCUGUCCUACAUUUGCAAUGUCCUUCGGGACUAUGGACAUAAACGCGCUCGUAAUAAGCGGAUCGGACCCGGGGGCGGUACCCGGCGACUCCACCAACACCCGUUCAUUUGGCGGUCAUGGGGUCGAAACAGGAUCGACGAACGUCUAAAGGGGUUAUGCUUUGUCUCGGCUGUCUGCCACCGUUAUCGGCGAAAACUGUACAAUUGCAAAUGACAAUCGUGCUCCGAUGGCGAUGGCCGCGUAAGCGACCGGACCUAUCGAAAAUUAAGUCCUUGAGCUUUGCAGCUUAAGGCGGGGUUCGCAGGCACCUGGCAACAGAAGCCUGCACU
rnacentral:tmRNA from 1 species